CUUUCUUUGCUGGCGACCGGCGCACGGGUGAGUAACACGUAUCCAACCGGCCCUUUACUCGGGGAUAGCCUUUCGAAAGAAAGAUUAAUACCCGAUAGCAUAAUGAUUCCGCAUGGUUUCAUUAUUAAAGGAUUCCGGUAAAGGAUGGGGAUGCGUUCCAUUAGGUUGUUGGUGAGGUAACGGCUCACCAAGCCUUCGAUGGAUAGGGGUUCUGAGAGGAAGGUCCCCCACAUUGGAACUGAGACACGGUCCAA
rnacentral:rRNA from 1 species